rnacentral:tRNA from 1 species
CAGGGAGACAACAAAAUGUUUAAUAUUAUUUUGUCACCUUAGGUCGAUCGGUAUCUCACGUUUUUAAUUUAUCAAUUAAGAAUUUCAUUUCCUAAGUUUUUCUAGGUCACACCCAUUAUUUUUCCUGGGCCAUUAGCUCAGGUGGUUAGAGCGCACCCCUGAUAAGGGUGAGGUCCCUGGUUCAAGUCCAGGAUGGCCCAUUCGGUGUUGGGGGUUUAGCUCAGUUGGUAGAGCGCCUGCUUUGCAAGCAGGAUGUCAGGAGUUCGAGUCUCCUAACCUCCACUGACCGAACUUGAUUCCCAUCUCCAAUUUUUUGGAGUUGAGCUCGAUUGGAGUGUGAUUUAGAUGUGUCCGCUGGAUGACCCCAGCUUCCUGUCAUUCCAAGUUUUAGGUUGAUGCCUUGAAUUUGGUUGAUAAGAUGCUGGGCUCGGAUCAAAUGAUCAAGCAAUUGAUGAUUUGAUUUGAAGUUCUAGCAGAACCUUGACAACUGCAUAGGUGAGUCUGGAAAAAACAAAGCAUCUUACAGAUGCAUUGUUUUGAAUCUGAUCUUCUGAAAGGGAGAUUGGAUCUAGAACAAUGAAAAUUCUUUUGAGCAGGAGCCGAGACUCUUGAACGUUCUUUGAUUGGUGUCGAGCCAAUCAGAGUUUGAUCUUGUUUUUAGCAAUAAAAACUUGAGAAUCUGCUUUCAACGGCGGUAAGCGUUUAAGAGGUUAAUU